rnacentral:misc_RNA from 1 species
GUAAAUGCAUGUCCGAUUUUUAGGAAUUGCAGAAAUGGCCCAUAGACAUUUCCUGGCCAUGUCCUCACAUUUUCAACGAGGAACCGUUUCCGGAACGGGAGAACGUGGGCUCCUCCCAUUUUCGUGCAUCAUAGUUUCUCUUUUCUCUUUCGUUUCUCAUCGCGUGUUUCCAUUAAAUCCAGCAUUACCAGCCGGAAAUCAUUCUCAUACCUAAGGUCUGUCGAAAGGAAGCUAUGGCAUGGCUGGAUAGGGGCAAAAUUACCGGAAAUAGAAGAGAAAAGCUUGGCCAUUUCAUUUUUCUCUUACCUCGUGUAACCUUGGAUCCACUCAAAGAUUGCCAUCAUUCAUCACUUGAGAAACACCGCCAGAGCUUGCUGGAGAUCCUGGUUGCAUCGUUAAAGAAAAAAUUAAGGGGAAGGGGCUGGCUGCUUGUCGGGACGAGGGAGAAGUGGUCUCCCUAUUUGGUUCCAAAACGCAGCUUAGUCUGCACUUUCAUUUUAACAUUUUUUUUUAA